rnacentral:rRNA from 1 species
UCGCAAUCUUCUUUAUCGAUUUGAACUCUCAAAAAAAAUUACGCUGUUAUCCCUAAGGUAACUUUAUCUUUUAAUCUAAAACUUAGGAUCAAAAACUCACUAAUUAGUGGAUUAGUAAAAAAAAGUUAAUUAAAUUUUCCUGUCACCCCAACCAAAUAAACCCAAUAAUGCAAAACCUAUAUUCCAAUAAUUCACAAAAAAGUAGUUUAUAAAGCUCUAUAGGGUCUUCUUGUCUUCCAUGACUAUUUAAGCUUUUUCACUUAAAAAUAAAAUUCUAAUAAACUUAUAUUGAGACAGUAGCUUCCUCAUUUAUCCCUUCAUUCCAGCUUCUAAUUAAGAAACUAAUUAUUAUGCUACCUUUGCACGGUCAAAUUACCGCGGCCAUUUAAAACUUUCAUAGGGCAGGACUGACCUUAAAUCAUAAUCAAAAGGCC